UGUAGUCAUAUGCUUGUCUCAAAGAUUAAGCCAUGCAUGUCUAAGUAUAAGCAAUUAUACCGCGAAACUGCGAAUGGCUCAUUAAAUCAGUUAUCGUUUAUUUGAUAGUACCUUACUACAUGGAUAACCGUGGUAAUUCUAGAGCUAAUACAUGCUAAAAAUCCCGACUUCGGAAGGGAUGUAUUUAUUAGAUUAAAAACCAAUGCCCUUCGGGGCUCUCUGGUGAUUCAUGAUAACUUCUCGAAUCGCACGGCCUUGCGCCGGCGAUGGUUCAUUCAAAUUUCUGCCCUAUCAACUUUCGACGGCUGGGUCUUGGCCAGCCGUGGUGACAACGGGUAACGGAGGGUUAGGGCUCGACCCCGGAGAAGGAGCCUGAGAAACGGCUACUACAUCCAAGGAAGGCAGCAGGCGCGCAAAUUACCCAAUCCCGACACGGGGAGGUAGUGACAAUAAAUACUGAUACAGGGCUCUUUCGGGUCUUGUAAUUGGAAUGAGUACAAUUUAAAUCCCUUAACGAGGAACAAUUGGAGGGCAAGUCUGGUAAUCG
rnacentral:rRNA from 1 species